AUGGUAAGAGCAUUUGUUAAACAUCAAUGCUGUACCAGGGGGAUGUAUCACUGUCGCCUGCAUCACUCACAUCAAUUUGUGCAUCCUUCCUUGUGUUGCAGGACUGGUGACCCUCUGUCAGGUCACUAUGGAGUUCCCACUCUGUUUGCUUGCUGUGUAUUUUCUUUGAAGAGGAGGAGAGGAGGAGGAGGAAAGGAGAUGAAAAGCCUGCUCCCAAGGGCAGGUCACUGGAUCCCUGGCCAUGUCCUGGUAGGGGGUGUUGGGAGUCUGUCCCCUAGCAGGUACUGACUCUCAGCAUGACCUCGCAGGACCCGGUCAGUCGGGUCUGGUGAGCAGAGCCAGGAGCUGCAGAUCAGCUGAUCCGCAGCGACCUUGACGCACCGACGAACCCAAGCACCAGACACCUGAAGACACCUGAGACGACUAGAUGAAGCUCAUCCUAAGCACAAAGCUUAUAUUACUUACCUGAAUACUUAAACGAAAUGUACCCUAGAAUGCCGCCAGAUGAAGAACCAUUCUUUUCUUUUUUUGGUUGGCUUCUGGUUGUCUGCGUUGCUUGGUUUCGGCGGCUCAUGGGGGGCCUGCUGAAGAAAACGCAUUCCCAAAUACACUGCAAUGCUGAACGCAUAAUUUCCAUGAAAAUGUAAAAUUUUUAAUAAAAAUUGAAAAAAACAUUGCAACAUGAACAAACUUAUCUGUGCCGUUUGUGCUGUAGUUGUCAUUUUGGGUAUUUAUACACUCUGAUAUUGAUGCCACAUUGCAGAGAACAGCUGCAAAGUUUUAACAUCGCAAAUAAUACUUACAGUUAGUAGUGUGGUGCAAGUAAAUAAUAUCCAAGCCACUUGAAACAUCUUUAAACUCAUACAUACUGACAAUUUAAUAUCCGUCUCAGAGCAUUAUUUUAUUUGACUUUUUUCUACUUCGCUUUAUGUAGGCCUAGAUUAGCAUGUCGUUUAGCCUCCUCUGUUUGUUAGGUAAAUACAGUACUUCCUUGAACAGGACGGCCCUCGCUCCAGACGCGCAUGCACACACACAUGCCCAAGCGCACACACACGUCAUAGUUUGGUUUUGUUGCGUUGUCUUUGUUCAGUACAUAGUAACCAAAGAACAUACACUCUGUCUGAGAAAAGAAGAGGCAAUGCAGAAUUUAAACUAAACAAUGGACUUUGAUGGAAACGAAAGUAAAGCUUGCAGACUGUUAGGGUUGCGUAAAUUCGAAUCUGGUAUCAGGAUAAAUAUAACAAUGAGUCACCGAUUGUAUACUAUGUAUUUUAUUUAUUAAAACUAUAUUUUUCAAAAAAGGUCUAUAAUAGCCUCAACAGCACUCUGUAGGUUAGCACCAUGGUGUAGCCGGAGUACAGCUAGCUUCCGUCCUCCUCUGGGUAUAUUGACUUCAAUACAAAACCUAGGAGGCUCAUGGUUCUCACCCACUACCAGUAAUCAUGACAACUUCUGGAUGCCGUCCUCCAACCUAUCAGAGCUCUUGCAGCAUGAACUGACAUGUUGCCCACCCAAUCAAAGGAUCAGAGAAUGAAUAUAGUACUGAAAGCAUAAGCUACAGCUAGCUAGCACUGCAGUGCAUAAAAUGUGGUGAGUAGUUGACUCAAAGAGAAAGGCAAUAGUUGAACAGUUUACUUUUUUAAAUAAUCCAAAUUGAAGGAAAAGCAAGAGAGAAAUAGACAGACAUUUCAUUUUUGGGGGUUUAGUUUCAGUUUAAUUUACUUAGCUAGCAAAUGCAGCUAGCUAGUUUAGCCUAAUGAAACAGCCUGCUCAAACAGAGGGAUUCUAUCUUAGCUAGCUGGCUAUGACUAUCCAACUCAACACCGGAACUCUUCAAAGGUCGAG
rnacentral:lncRNA from 1 species